AAUUCUAAUUCAUUUUAGGAUAACCCUUUGAACUUAAGCAUAUCAGUAAAAGGAGGAAAAGAAACUAACAAGGAUUUCUUUAGUAGUGGCGAAUGAACAAGAAAAAACUCAUUAUGUAAUCUAUAUUCAUUAUAGAGAUGUUAAAAGUUAUUGUUGUCAUUCAAAUCAUAGAUACAUUAAAUUGUAGUAAAUGAUGACGAUAAAUAAACAAUGUAGAGUACGAUUGCUUGGUAGUGCAAUUGGAAUAUAGAUAGAAUAAAAUAUCUAAAGUUAAAUAUAAAUGA
rnacentral:ncRNA from 1 species